CCAGGGAUGUCUACCUCCCUCCAGCCGAUGGACUAUGGAGGCUCAUGCCACAAGGGGAGAGUUUUGAAGGCGGGCACUGGCUUCGUAAUGUGCCCGUUCCACUGGACGAGGCGUAUUCCUGAAAUUACUAGCAGAUUUGCAGCACAUGUGUACGACAAAAGCCUGCUUGAUUGCUCGAAAUUGUGAAUACGUUGAAUGUGGCGCAGUUUUGAUGUCCUGCUGGUCUCCUUACGAACAAAGCAACAAAAAAGUACAAAAUAAUUAUAAUCACUCGAAAUCACCGACCAAUAACAUUUUGAAGAAAUAUCAGCCACUGUUUUAGUACAAACAAGCUGUUUUUUCGUUUUUAUUAAGAUGAAAACCAAGUAUAAAGUAGAAUGAUGAUAAUGAUGUGCAGACGUCCCUGUCACAUUUGGUACAUUAAUAUGGAAAUAUUCAUCAGCAUAAAAUCCAAAAUGAUGAAAUUGCUCCCAUUCGCUUCUAGACAGGAAGUGGAACGUCAUCAAAGCACGCAAAUAAAGCUGUGCCUCAUGUAUUCAAGUCAUGGGGGAGAACACAUU